AACGCACAUUGCGCCCUUUGGUAUUCCGAGGGGCACGCCUGUUCGAGCGUCAUUUAAACCAUCAAGCCCAGCUUGGUCUUGGACGCGGUCGCGCGACCCGUCUACAACCGGUUUGGCGGUGCGGUCCGGCCCCGAGCGUAGCAGAAAAUCUCGCUCAAGGGGGCUCGCGGCGGUGCUUGCCACGAAAUCGCACUUUGAAGUUUGACCUCGGAUCAGGCGGGGAUACCCGCUGAACUUAA
rnacentral:misc_RNA from 1 species